CCAUCAACCGUAUUCUUGCGCUUAGUCUCGUCCUCGAAGACUCGUCCUUCGAGAUCUAUCGUUGGGAUGGUCGUGAGAUGUAGCAAGUCAGAGGAAGGCGGCUUGGGGUUUGCUAAGUUGGAAGGUGAGUCGUGGAAAAUGCGUGGAAGCUGUGUUAUUCCGGCGUCGACGAGUCCUUUCACACGAGUCGUGGAAGAUGCGUGGAAGCUGUGUUAUUCCAGCGUCGACGAGUCCUUUCACACCUGCCUUCCUCUCGUCGAAAGCUUUAAGCUCACUGAUACGAUCCAAUGCAGCAAUCUUCGUCGUCUCCAUAGUGUUCGUUAAAAAAAAACUUAUUUUAUUGUCUUGGAUUUACAGCAAACCACUGGUUAUAGAUUAUCAUCGAUAGACAUGUGACCACUUGUUACAGAAAAAUCACUGACCAUAGAUUGUAAUAAGUUUGAUAGAAAAUAAACGGUUUGUGACAGUUUCUGCCCCACUGGUUUUUAAUUAUACAAGACUUUAUUACAGGGAAACCAAAGUCCUAUACGCAUCCUUAUUAAACAUAAACGUGCAUGUGCAUCCUUAUUAAAACAUAAACGUGCAUUCUUUAGAUCUUGAGAUAUAGUAAUCCAGAGGUACCAUCGAAUCCUUUGGAUCUGUAGAACUUUGAAUACUCUGUAAUAGUGGUGUCUCUAUAUAUGGUAGGGUUUUGUUCAGACAAAAGCUCUUUUAAUGAUAGGUCCAUAAACUCGAGGAGUCGCCAUCAAAUACGAACCGAAGAAGCACGCCACUGAGAUACGCGGUCCAGCUCCGUUGGCUAAAACACGAUGCUCUACGCUUAUGAACUUGCCGUUUGUAAUAAACUGCAUAAAUGCCCCAAUAAGAUUAAAACAUUGAUCAAGCAAAAAAAAAAGGUAGUUUAGUUAGUUAUCCUGGAGAAGGUCUCCAACGUUGACUACAAGAGCUCCAGGGACAGUAGGAACAUCAACCCAAUAUUGAUCAUGGAGAACUUGUAGCCCUCCAACUUGUUCUUGAAGAACACUAGAAAAUUUUUUUUAUGUUGAUAGCAUGUUGUUAGAGUAAGUUUUACUAAACUGAUAUUGUAAAUGAUUAAGAAAUUUUCAUAUUAUAUAGUAGCGUUAGACAAUAGAAUCGAACCUAAAAUAACAUUUAAUUAAUGUUAUUCUGAAAACUAAGUGAGAAUAAAGAUAAAAUCACUGAUUCCGCUAUACUUAGCGGAAAAUUAGACUUAGGCACCAAAGACAUUUUCUAAACGAUUUCAUUAUUGCUAUCGAAGACAAAUAAUAGCAUUUUUCUAAUGCUAAGAAAAUCAAUUUGAACUCUUAAACCCUAAACAUGGUUUUAAACUCUAAACUCUAAAAACAGCCCUUAAAAUUCUAAUUUUUUUCAUAUUAUAAUUUCAAAUCUUAAAAUUGAACUCAAAAUAUAAUUUUCUUAAUCUUAGACUCUAAUUUUCUAAGCACAAAUCUUUAAUUUUUAAUCAAACUCUAUCCUAAAUCUUAACUUCAAACACAAACAAUACAUUUAAUACUCUAAAUAAAACUUCAAAUCUAAAUUAUUAAAAAAUUAACUACAAAUUUUAUAUCUAGUCUUCAAAUUUAUUAUUUUUCAACUUUAAUCCAAAAUACUAAACGUUAACCCUAAACCUCUUGUUCCAACAUCCAAACCUUAAAUUACAAAACUAAACUUUACUUUUAAUCAUAAUUUUUUUUUAUAAACCAUAAAAUCUGAAUUUAAGCCUAGAGUCAGGUCUGGUAGGACACAGAGGGUAAUAAUGGCCUAGCAGCAGCAAUGAAUUGGUGCAGUCCAUGUCCUUGACCUUGAGGUGAUUAGUGUUUAACCCUAGAGCUUCUGAGAGAAGCUCGAUAGCAUUUUACCCACUUUCAUCACUUCCUUUGAGUAUUCAAUCAUCACCUCCCUAACAAAAUGUCCCACAAAUAAAACAAAAACAUCAAAGACACGUUUUAUUCAUUUGUUGAAUUCUUACAAUAGAGACAGAGAUUCCGACAUAUGCUUAGUUUAUUCCCAUUUAAGGUCUCUAGGAUAAUGAUGCUCUUAGAGUAAAAAGUAGAAACAGUGAUGUUUAUAAACCUUCCUCAGCACUCUUUUGAUAAUUUUCUCAAAAGUAAUUAUAAUCUACAAACGUAGACAUGAUUUACAUAUCCAUGUUGAAUAAAAAAAAUAGUAAGCUCACCAUGUUCUCCUCAUAUUUUAAAAUGGAGCAAAUUAGAUCCGUCAAGUCCUUUGGCAUCGCGGUGAGCAGCCAACUCCUUAACGGUGAUCUCUCUGUACUUUGGAGGGUUAUUUUCAGACACAAGCUCUCUAAUUGGUCCGUAUAUUCUAGGAUUCGGUCUAAUGCCGGUUGUGAAGAAACAGCCGACCGAGACUCUAGCUUUUGUAGCUCUGUUUGCCAACACUCUGUGUUCUGAACUGAUGAACUUGUCGUUUGUUACAAGCUGCAUCAGACCAACCAAAACAACUUUGUUACGAGCUGAGACAUAUCUGAGCAGAAGGCAUUGAUUGAUUGUGAACAGAAACUUGCCUGCAGAAGGUCUCCGACGUUGAUGAUGAGUGCACCGGGAACAGGAGGAACAUCGAACCAGUACCCUUCACGGAGAACUUGAAGCCCUUCGAUCUGAUCUGGAAGGAGGACAGUAAGAAAAGCGAUGUCGCUGUGUUUAGUGGUGCCUAAAGUUAGGUCAGGCUCUGGGCAGGGCGGGUAGUAAUGGCAGAGCAUGCGCAAGCCCUUGGAGCAAUCAAUCUCCUUGAGGUAAUUAGGGUUCAACCCUAGAGCUUCUGAUAUAAGCUCAAACAGAAACUCUCCCAAACUCAUCGCUUGCUUUGAGUAUUCCAACAUUACAUCCCUGAAAACACUUUUCACCAUAUGAACGAACACAAGAGAGAUUAAAAGUAAAUGAAGUCAUGUUGUACCUACAGAUCGCUGGCAGAUCUUGUGGUUUGGGAGGAUUUGGAGCCAUGUAACAAGAGAAAGUGUCUCUCCAACUCGCAGCUGAUGAAGUGUAGAGAUCGAAGUUACUUGUAUACACAAACUCUCUCCUAAAAUCUCGGCUGUAGUAUUGUUUCUUCACUUCAGGGGCUUGCUCGUUAAACCUUCGAACUCCAUCUUUCAUCCUCUCCAAAAGAUCGAGGGGAACACCAUGGUUGACCACCUGGAAGAAACCCCACUUCUCUGCUGCGUCUCUAAUCCCAUCAACCGUAUUCUUGCGCUUAGUCUCGUCCUCGAAGACUCGUCCUUCGAGAUCUAUCGUUGGGAUGGUCGUGAGAUGUAGCAAGUCAGAGGAAGGCGGCUUGGGGUUUGCUAAGUUGGAAGGUGAGUCGUGGAAAAUGCGUGGAAGCUGUGUUAUUCCGGCGUCGACGAGUCCUUUCACACCUGUCUUCGUCUCGUCGAAAGCUUUAAGCUCACUGAUACGAUCGAAUGAACCAAUCUUGG
rnacentral:lncRNA from 1 species